GUGUUAAAGCUGUAAAUUGUAGAGGUGGAGCGGUCCACCUCAUCUGCUCUCUGCCAGAGUCAGUGUGUGUGAUAAAUGAGAGGAGGCCUGGUCUGCUUACUGAUGCACAGGAGAUACCGAACCAGCUCCCCCCCCACCACCACCCCUCCAUCCACCUCCUCUUCCUCCAUCUUUCAGCUUCAUCUAUCAAACUUCAGUCUUGUUCGUGGCAGCUGCAUCAGUUGUGUGUGAGAAAUGGAGCUGCGGUGAAUCACGGCGCUCUGAUUCGCCCCAGCCCAGCGUGACUGUGGAGCGCCUGCCGGAAUCCAGCGGAAUGUGCCAGAACUGAAGCCUGCUCGGCCCAGUCAUCCUUAGCAGGGAGACAUUAGUUACGAUACAUUAUCUGAAUGGCCUGCCAUCUUUUCAAAGUAAACCUCAUGGAUUCUAGCCUGUCUCUUUUUAUAUUUUUUUCUCAAGUGCACUAGUGCACACACACUCACACACACAUAAACACUCAAAGGCACAUUCGAGUGGACACACGGGAACACCUAUAAUAGGCUUACACGACCGCGCACACCCUGCAAUUACAAACAUACAAACACACACACACACACACACACACACACACACACACACACACACGCUCACUCUUUAUGUGGAGCCGCCCCCCUCUCGUUGCUUGCACUCCUUGGGCUAUAAUAAAUUUCUUUGAAACAUGACUCUACACAUGAGGGGAUGGCAAUCUAGAGAGCAGAAAUUAAAAUUUCAUUAUUUACUGCACUUGUGUUGCAGGGUGCAAUUAGUAUCUACAGAGCAUGGAGCGGGAAUAUUUAAUCCUUUCUUUCUUUCUCUAUCUCUCUUUCCACCUAGAAAAAAAUGUGACCAUGGUAACUGCUGCUAUGACUACUGCAUUGACCUUAGGACAUAGUGGUAAAUUGUGUUUUUUUCCCCCCUUCCGUUCCGAGUUCUUUUCUGUACACUUAAGCAGUGAACUAAAAAGAAAAAGAGAAGGAAAGAAAAAUAACAUCCGGGCAUUGGAUUAAAUGCAAUCAUUGUCAGCCCACAACCAUGCCAUUUAUCAGUGUACUGUUUUGGACUGUAUAAUAAGUUUCGUAUAUUAAUACAAUUUUUCAUGUUACACCACUGGCUGAGAUUCAUGACCAGCAGGUGAUCUCAGGUGAUCAUUGAAUUACGUGACCUGUAAUGUGGGGAGAGAGAGAGAUGUGUAUAUGGAUAUGGGAAAUGGAGGGUGGAGCCGAUGUUCUUUGGCUCAUGUGAGCAACAGUUUUAGUUCACGGCAUAUAUUUAAGAAAAUGUUUUAGAUGUUAUUCAACUUCAGAAAUCUUUUAAUUUUUGCACUUUUCAUUUGGGAAUUUUAAACUUGCUCUAAGCAUGCUAAAUGACACAGUUUAUGACUAUAUUAGUCAUUUUUAUA